ensembl:lncRNA
GAUAUGUCAACUGGCUAAGGAAGCAGACAUCCAGGAAACCUGGGGACCCUAUAGAAGCAGCCCUUAAAUACAUAAGGCACCCUGACUAGGAGGCAGCUACACCCCUUUCUCCACUUGCUGGCCUCUUGGUGCAGCAGUGGUCCCAGUGUUUUUGGGGCAGUGUUCAGUGGACAACUGCAUUCAACAGCGAGGAAGAUCCUUGCCCCAAAGACUGCAGUUCCUAGUAUCUUCAUAUUGGAGAAUUGCAAGAAACAUUAUAAUGAGCUCUUGAUGACUAAGACCACAUUUAACACACAUUUCUAUGUGUGAAGAGGAGGCUGCCCCAUGGCAGUCUUUCCUGCCUCCAAGGCCUGCACAUGCAAGUCCAGAGCUGCUGCAUCCUGAGAGCUGGCGGGCAUGUCUGAACAAAGAGCAGCAGCAGAUCGGCCGUACACUGUUCACCAGGAGUAGCACUGGGAGAUAUAAAAUUACCAGAGUUGGUCUGUGGUGGUACCCUCCCCAACCUUGGCUGACCUACAAUCAGCCACCUGAGUCGCCUGACCCCUUCUUUGCAUGUCCGCUGUUCCUCUACAUACAUGGUCAUUCAAGCUGGCACGCACCCGGCCUGGGUGUAACACUCUUCUCACCAAGGCUGGGCUUUACAAGACCAUCCAGAGAGUCUUGGAUGUCAAGGGCUAGUACCCCAUGGCCACGGAGUGUCUGCGUUCUUCCACCACAUUACAUGUGAAUUCAUUGGUGUUGAGUACCUGUACACCCAGACCAACAAAGUGCUGCAGGAAGUCAACCGGACCCCGACACUCCAGAUGAGGCUGAUGCUGUCGAGGGACCCCUGGAGGAUGAGGGCUUUGAGGAGACAGGAUAAGGACGCCACCACCCCAGCCUCGCUGCCGGCCUCGUUCUCCACUUCAGUAGUAGCCCCGCCAGAAGGAGUGCCAAGGGCCAGAUACCAGCAGGUCUGCAGGCUGGCCAAGAGGGUCUUCAGGGGCUCACGGAUCGAAAGGUAGACUGUCUGAUAGGACUGUGGCAAACACUACCGCAGCCAGAGGAGUUGUCGACACUUUCCGUCACCAGGACAGGCUCGAGCGCGGGCGGUUCAAAGCGAUUAAAGGGAAACUGCUGGAAAGGACAGUGUUCAAUGGUAUUUGGUUAAUAUAAUAAUUAUUUCAACAGUUGCCAUCCACUGCCAACACUAACAAGUAUUCUUUGUUCAAAUCUUUGUCUUUCAGUUGCUUUCUCAGACUUAACCCGGGUCCUGCUACGUGGCCAGGCGGCAGUCGCCUGGUCGAGGCCAUUUGCAGCCAGCUCUGUCACCAGCAUCCAUGCGGCCCUAAGAGGUGCAGGUGGGCGAUCCUCUUCAGUCAGAGAGGCGGUGCUGAACAGCCCAGGGUUGAUGGCCCAGACCAACACCACGGUCUAUGAGCUGAAGUCAGAGGACGGUCUAACAAUAGUAAGAUGAUGAUGAUACAUGUAGACAUUAUUAAUAAUUAGCAGCAUCAUGUUCCUGAUGGUCCUGUAGUCCUUCUGGAUGGCAGCCCACCUGUUGUCCCGCACACCAAGGACAGUCUGGCAAAGCUCCAAAAAGAAAGCCUCUACUGUGCUGCUAGUGUUGGGCCACAGGGCAGGUCCAGGUCCUUGUCCAAAUAGGGAGCUAAAAGGAUAUUAAAUUAUAAAAGACAACAUCUAUGAAGAACACAAAACACCCUGUUUAGUGAGAAAGUGAUUUCGGCACAAAGUGCAGUACUUACCGCUUCAUGCUAUCUUCCCCCUCGACUGCUGUGGUCUUUGAGGAGACUCAUCUUGUUCGCCUCUGGAAGAUUCUCUCACAGGGCGAUUAUCUCUUUGGGCAUGCCGAGUCGAGAUCGACAGCCUCUCCAAGAGUCUCAUCAGACUUUUGGCAAGGAGAACGACAUGUUGAUACCCGACAACCCCAUCAGGACUUGUGUACUCCUGGAAAUAUGAAGUGUAAUUGCAAGGGGUUGGAUUAUUGGAUAUGAAUAAGAAAAGAAAAAAAAUGACGAUGUGAGCGGUUUGUGAUGUGGAUAUGCACUUACAUCCUCCUCCAGGUCCUGACAGAUAGUAGGGGGCAAUGGAGCAGCCUUCUUGAGGUAAGGAAGAGCCUAGUCACGCUGUUCCCAAGUGUACGCUCCCUCGUCUAUUCUGACUACCUUCAGGUCACAGGACAGCCUGAUACACCAUGGGAAUUAACCGAAAAGCCAAGAUCGCUGAGAACUUGUGUCCACCUGGUUAAGGACAUCCAGUGACCAACCUGCCAACUUCUUUUCACAGGGGUUGCAUUCUAGAUAUUCCAUCCCCAUUAAAUACCAUCCAUCGAUGUCAAGCACCUUCCGGACAGUCCUGUACACCACGCAACGUGUUAGCCUGUGGCGCUUGCACUGUGGCAAACAAAGUUUGGGGCACAGGUCAUUUGAUAUUAGUAUUGAAUUAUUAGUAUUAGUACUGAAACCAAUGACAUCAGAAUAUAUACUUGCCAGAAUUAGGUGUUUUGGCUGGAGUUUCGUCUCUGCACUGGAGAUAGACCUUGAAGUGAGCCAUUGAUGUUCCCUCUUCACUUUGCCCUUCUGGAAGCAGGUCAUAUAGCUGUAUUAAAAACAAACAAAAAUGUACACACUAACAGUCAAAAGUUUUUUUCCAGUUUGGCUGAGGUCAUGGGACAGAAACUCACUCCUUCAUAAACACUGUGUCCUGUCUUUAAUUUACUACAUUUCUUGCAGUACUAUACUUUGCUGGGCUUGUGCACACAGACUGUUUGAAGAAACAGACAGAUAUUCCUUGUAUCUUGUGUACCCCAAAGCCAACAAGGUGUAGGUGUCCCUGAUCACGUUAAGGGAGUGAGGUUCCACCUCUACUGCCCUCUGGGAACAGGCUGCCAUACCUGUUCAGGUGGUUGAGAUAAUGCUAUAUAAUGUGUUGCAAUGUGGAUUGAUUUACGGUGUGUACGUGUCAUCAUACAAGAUACUUAUUUCCAUUAAAACAUUUACCAAUUUAAGCAGUCCUGGUUUGCCAUCUUGGGAGACAACUAUGUCUUUACUAGCUGUCUCAUUAAGUACAUCAGAUUGAACUGUACAAUAUGGAUUGUUUGAGUCUAAGCUUUGUGAAUUCAUUGGUACAAUUAAAUAGAAGUAGAAUAUUUGAAUGUAUCUACCUCCAUAUGAUACAAUGUCAUAAAUAUACAUUAUGCUGUGUGUAUAGUACUAAUCUGUGUCAUGUUUUCAUUCAUCAGAUGGUAAUCACCCAUUUUUACUCUUAAAUUAAUUGAAAACAAUAAAAAGUGC